rnacentral:rRNA from 2 species
CCUGUUUAACAAAAACAUGUCUUUUUGAGUUAAUUUUAAAGUCUGACCUGCCCACUGAAUUUUAAAUGGCCGCAGUAUUUUAACUGUGCAAAGGUAGCAUAAUCAUUAGUCUUUUAAUUGAAGGCUGGUAUGAACGGUUGGACGAAGUAUAUACUGUUUCAUGUAAAUUUAUAAUAGAAUUUUAUAUUUUAGUCAAAAAGCUAAAAUAAUAUUAAAAGACGAGAAGACCCUAUAAAUCUUUAUAUUUAAUAGAAUUUAAAUUUUUUGGAUUUAUUUUAUUUUUAUUAUAUUAGAUAUUUUGUUGGGGUGAUGUUAAAAUUUAAUAAACUUUUAAUUAUUUAAGAUCAUUUAUUUAUGAAUUAUUGAUCCAUUAUUAGUGAUUAUAAGAUUAAGUUACUUUAGGGAUAACAGCGUAAUUUUUUUGGAGAGUUCAUAUCGAUAAAAAAGUUUGCGACCUCGAUGUUGGAUUAAGAUAUAUUUUUAGGUGUAGUGCUUUAAAU